UUCUUUGGAAAAAAUGAUAAAAUGAGAAACUUAGCCAUUUUCUGCACUGGAAAACUGUGGAAAAUUACUUAGAAUUUUUUUAACUGUCGACCAAUAGUACAAUAACAUUGGGAUCGAAGUCGGGCUCGAUGAACAAUUAAUUUAAACAACAAGCCGAAAUUCAAAAAUAUCGAAUGCCAUGUUCAUGUUGCACAGAAGGAAAGUUGGAAAGAGAGUGUCUAGAACAGGGGAAUCAUGAUUAGCUUUAGAUGGAAGAAGAUGAAGACAUUUUAAGACCCGCUGUUGCUGCAUUGUGCCUGAGAUGAUCCCCUCAGCGCUGGCGUUUGAUAACUUGGUGGAUGUAGAUGCUUAGCCAGUCAGUCUCUAGGCUUGUGAAUAUGGAAUCCGGGUGCUCACAAGGACAAGAGGUGUAUGAAAAGAAAAACAUAAAGAAAUCGUGUAAGGAUCGAAAGUUUGAAGUGUCUGUUGGAAUGAUCAACAUCGAACUUUCUGAGCCUUCGUACUGAAAGUGAAUCCGUUCGUGACACCAAUUAACUGUCAACCUUCUAACAUAACCAUUUACUAAUUUCAUAGAAUAUCAGUGAGGAAGUGAUUCUCUAGCAAACACGUCAGAAGUUUUGGAUCUUCAUUAAUUGGGAUCUUUGGCACUUACGUUGGGGGGAAAUAGCAUCUGUUGAUUUUAUGGGAUCAUUGUAUCAAUGUAGUUGUGUAGUACAUAUUUUUUGCAUGUAAUACAUGUGUUUGUCACUCUAGUCAAUAACUUUGUACCAGUACAUAAGCAUGAUAAGCCACUGGCAAUUCAUUGUAAAUGUAUACUUUGUUGAGGUCUCAAUGACUAUUCCAAUUCCAUAGCCAAUUUCAUUUAUUAAAACUUACUUCUUAUUUUAGAAAAUGCAGACUGGAGUUUACUAAAUUCAUGUAUAUCAUAACAUGAUUAUCAUUAAUUUAACCAAGGUGACUGAUUCUCCGGUAAUCAUAUUUUCUCUGUAAAUAACCUUUAAUGUAAAAUACUUUCCGUGAGAAUAUUUUAUGAAAGUGUGCUUAUA